rnacentral:rRNA from 1 species
AACCUGGUUGAUCCUGCCAGUAGUCAUAUGCUUGUCUCAAAGACUAAGCCAUGCAUGUCUAAGUAUAAGUAUUAUACAGCGAAACUGCGAAUGGCUCAUUAAAACAGCUAUAGUUUAUUUGAUAAUCUAACUACAUGGAUACCCGUAGUAAUUCUAGAGCUAAUACAUGCUGUACACCGAACUUCAUGGGGAGGUGGUAUUUAUUAGAUAACAACCAAUAUUCCGAAGGUCUAUCGUGGUGAAUCAUAAUAACUGAUCGAAUCGUAAAGCCUAUGGCGACGAUAAGUCAUUCAAGUUUCUGCCCCAUCAGCUUUAGAUGGUAGUGUAUUGGACUACCAUGGCAUUCACGGGUAACGGAGGAUUAGGGUUCGAUUCCGGAGAGGGAGCCUGAGAAACGGCUACCACAUCUAAGGAAGGCAGCAGGCGCGUAAAUUACCCAAUCCUGACUCAGGGAGGUAGUGACAAGAAAUAGCAAGAAGUACCUUGUGUAUUUCAUUGAAAUGAACCGAAUUUACACCACUUAGUGAGGAUCAAUUGGAGGGCAAGUCUGGUGCCAGCAGCCGCGGUAACUCCAGCUCCAAUAGC